CACAUAGAUUAUUCUAGCCAAGGUUUUAUUGAAUUAAAAUACACUAAUAUAUUAACUCCUACUUAUUCGAAGGGGUCAAUUCCAUCUUGACUCACACAUCGACUUCACAAGUACUUAACUAUACCCAAAAAUCUUUCAUCGCUAAAUUAAAAAUUUAGAUAGUCCAGCACCAAAAUAUAGUGAGUUACUUGUAAGUCACCAUGGUGAUCU
rnacentral:lncRNA from 1 species